rnacentral:rRNA from 1 species
CAGAGGUCCCGAGCGUUGUUCGGAUUCACUGGGCGUAAGGGUGCGUAGGUGGCAUGGUAAGUUUGAUGUGAAAGCUCAGGGCUCAACCCUGAAAUGGCAUUGAAUACUACUGUGCUGGAGGUUUGGAGGGGGGACUGGAAUUCUUGGUGUAGCAGUGAAAUGCGUAGAUAUCAAGAGGAACACCAGUGGCGAAGGCGAGUCCCUGGACAACACCUGACACUGAGGCACGAAAGCUAGGGGAGCAAACAGGAUUAGAUACCCUGGUAGUCCUAGCCCUAAACGGUGCGCAUUUGCUGUAGGAGGAAUCGACCCCUUCUGUGGCGAAGCUAACGCGAUAAAUGCGCCGCCGGGGGAGUGCGGUCGCAAGAUUA